rnacentral:rRNA from 1 species
AACGAACGCUGGCGGCAGGCUUAACACAUGCAAGUCGAGCGCCCCGCAAGGGGAGCGGCAGACGGGUGAGUAACGCGUGGGAAUCUACCCAUCUCUACGGAAUAACGCAUGGAAACGUGUGCUAAUACCGUAUACGUUCUUCGGGAGAAAGAUUUAUCGGAGAUGGAUGAGCCCGCGUUUGAUUAGCUAGUUGGUGGGGUAAAGGCCUACCAAGGCGACGAUCCAUAGCUGGUCUGAGAGGAUGAUCAGCCGCACUGGGACUGAGACACGGCCCAGACUCCUACGGGAGGCAGCAGUGGGGAAUAUUGGACAAUGGGCGCAAGCCUGAUCCAGCCAUGCCGCGUGAGUGAUGAAGGCCCUAGGGUUGUAAAGCUCUUUCACCGGUGAAGAUAAUGACGGUAACCGGAGAAGAAGCCCCGGCUAACUUCGUGCCAGCAGCCGCAGUAACAC